rnacentral:misc_RNA from 1 species
ACAAUUAUUAUUGGGCUCUUUCCCCCCCUUCACCGGGGGCGGUAAGGUUCUCUAACACUUGUGUGCACUGUUUAUUGUCUCUCGGCGUUUUUGAGGGUUGGGGGGUAUCAGUUUUCUGGUGCCCUCGUCCCCCCCAGAGCGCCAAUUUUAAACUUGAUUUAUUUAUACUAUAAGCCUUUAAUUUUAAAUUUAUAAUUUGAAAA